AGGAAGCCUGUUCCAGUGUUUGACCUCCCUCUCUAUUCACCCAAAGAAGGGGAAAUUCCUGGCAGCUAAAGCCCAGGAGAUGGGGCUGCCAGUGGGAACUCCAGCCAUCCUUCCCAUAUUUACAGCUCUCAGAAGCAGGUAGAGCUGCACUAGGGCAGGCACAGGCACAUACAGAGCUGGGCAGUCCCUCUCCUCUCCUUGGCUGCCAGGCCCAGGCUGGACACAGCCCUGAGGCUCCUGGUCUGACCUCCAGCAGCAGGCUGGACCUCUCAAGGCCCCUCUAAGCCCCAGUCCCCCUGUGAUUCCUCAGGCCCCACCAUUCCCUGCUGCUCCCCUCCCACAGGAGCCUGUUCAGGGCCUGUGUAGGAACACCAGGCUGCAGCUCUGUUUAUUUUCCAGCUCUCCAAACCCGGUGUGAGCU